rnacentral:rRNA from 1 species
UACGUAGGUUCCAAGCGUUAUCCGGAUUUACUGGGCGUAAAGGGUGUCUAGGUGGUUUAUUAAGUUCGAAACUAAAGCUAGCGGCUCAACCGUAUAGAUGUUUUCGAAUACUGGUAGACUAGAGUAUAGAAGAGGCAAGCGGAAUUUGUAGUGGAGCGGUAAAAUGCGUUGAUAUUACAAAGAACGCCAAUGGAGAAGUCAGCUUGCUGGUCUAUUACUGACACUAAAAGCACGAAAGCGUGGGGAGCGAGCGGG